UGGGGAAUAUUGCACAAUGGGGGAAACCCUGAUGCAGCAACGCCGCGUGAAGGAUGAAGGUUUUCGGAUUGUAAACUUCUUUAGUCAGGGACGAAUAAAUGACGGUACCUGAAGAAUAAGCCACGGCUAACUACGUGCCAGCAGCCGCGGUAAUACGUAGGUGGCGAGCGUUGUCCGGAAUUACUGGGUGUAAAGGGCGUGUAGGCGGGAAUGUAAGUCAGAUGUGAAAUCCCAGGGCUUAACUCUGGAGCUGCAUCUGAAACUAUGUUUCUUGAGUGUCGGAGAGGAUAGCGGAAUUCCGAGUGUAGCGGUGAAAUGCGUAGAUAUUAGGAGGAACACCAGUGGCGAAGGCGGCUUUCUGGACGAUAACUGACGCUGAGGCGCGAAAGCGUGGGGAGCAAACA
rnacentral:rRNA from 1 species